UCUGUCCUUGUCUAUGGGAGCAAAGUAUACAAUGAUCGUUAAGUGAGGAUACUGUUGCUGAAGCCCAUUAUUAAUUAAUAAUCCGCAUCCACAAUUUGUUUCGUGUGAUGCAAUUUUUGAAGGC